GCGGCUGUAGCUCAGUGGAUAGAGCACCUGCCUCCGGAGUAGGUGGUCGGGCGUUCGAGUCGCCCCAGCCGCG
rnacentral:tRNA from 1 species